CAGCCGCCGCGGUAAUACGAAGGGUGCAAGCGUUACUCGGAAUUACUGGGCGUAAAGCGUGCGUAGGUGGUGGUUUAAGUCCGUUGUGAAAGUCCUGGGCUCAACCUGGGAAUUGCAGUGGAUACUGGAUCACUAGAGUGUGGUAGAGGAUAGUGGAAUUUCCGGUGUAGCAGUGAAAUGCGUAGAGAUCGGAAGGAACAUCUGUGGCGAAGGCGACUAUCUGGGCCAACACUGACACUGAGGCACGAAAGCGUGGGGAGCAAACAGGAUUAGAUACCCCUGUAGUCCCUGUCUCUUAUAC
rnacentral:rRNA from 1 species